rnacentral:rRNA from 1 species
UACGGGGGGAGCAAGCGUUGUUCGGAUUUACUGGGCGUAAAGGGCGCGUAGGCGGCACCGCAAGUCGACUGUGAAAUCUCCGGGCUUAACCCGGAAAGGUCAGCCGAUACUGCGGGGCUAGAGUGCAGAAGGGGCAACUGGAAUUCUCGGUGUAGCGGUGAAAUGCGUAGAGAUGUGGAGGAACACCGAUGGCGAAGGCAGCCCCCUGGGUCAAGAUUGACGCUCGAUGCACGAAAGCGUGGGGAGCAAACAGG